UCAGCCUACCAAAACUAAACCAAAUAUUUACGCUUAAAUACAACAAAAAACCAUAACCAAAAUAAUAAUAAAUCCAAAGCAGUAGAACGAAUCCAACCAGAACUCGAACAAAACCCGAAUCCGAGGCAGAUGCAAAAUGCAGAACGGGAACAAUCUGGCCAAAACAAGUGCAACAGACAACCGGCAAAUCGGGCCAACAGCUGCCUGGUCGGCUUCCUCCGUCCUCCGUCUUUCUGGCUUUUUAUUGGCGAACUGACAACGAAAACACUGAAAUUGUUUUUUAAGCUCGAUUUAAAUGCACAUAAAAAGCGAUAUUUUAUCUUAA